rnacentral:rRNA from 1 species
GACGAACGCUGGCGGCGUGCUUAACACAUGCAAGUCGAACGGAAAGGCCCUGCUUUUGUGGGGUGCUCGAGUGGCGAACGGGUGAGUAACACGUGAGUAACCUGCCCUUGACUUUGGGAUAACUUCAGGAAACUGGGGCUAAUACCGGAUAGGAGCUCCUGCUGCAUGGUGGGGGUUGGAAAGUUUCGGCGGUUGGGGAUGGACUCGCGGCUUAUCAGCUUGUUGGUGGGGUAGUGGCUUACCAAGGCUUUGACGGGUAGCCGGCCUGAGAGGGUGACCGGGCACAUUGGGACUGAGAUACGGCCCAGACUCCUACGUGAGGCAGAAGUGGGGAAUAUUGCACAAUGGGCGGAAGCAUGAUGCAGCAACGCCGCGUGCGGGAGGACGGCCGUCGGGUUGUAAACCGCUUUCGCCUGUGACGAAGCGUGAGUGACGGUAAUGGGUAAAGAAGCACCGGCUAACUACGUG